UAAUUACUCUUAAAAAUAAUGUCCUCCCGUCCUAAAAAUGUCAUUAUAAUCGCACAUUAUUGUUUUAAAUAUAGUCGAGUACGAUGUAAAGCGAUGAAGUUAAACGUAAACAAUUGUUUUAGGUUAGUGUGUGCAUAUUUAACACGCGAACAUUAUUCUUAACAUGCUAUUUCUGUUUAUUAAUUGUACCAUGGGAUCAUUGUUUUCAAUGCAUAGUUUGUGUGGAAUAAUUAUGAAGUGGUUUAAAUACGAUCAAAGUUCUACACAAUGGCCUUUGCUGCCUUUCUGCUAGCUAUCGAACUGGAGGAGAAGGCAGAGAAGAUUGUUAAGAAACCAUCAAAAUCCCUUCGAAUUUCCAGAUUGCACCCUCAUAGCAGUUGGAAAACCUUAGAAAAUGAAGAAACAUGAAGAAACGAGCUAUGCAAUUUAAUAAAUACUUUGUUAUCAAGUUUGUUGCAUUUAUUAAAGAAAUUGUGAAAAUAA